CGCUCACUUUGGCAGUGGCCAGCACGGCUGUCACACCCGGGCGCCGAGUCCCUCUUGUUCGUGAGGGACGGCCACAUCGUACCUUUCAGGUGAGAAGAUGGUCUUAACUCUGCUCGGUCUGCCGGAGCCUCGGGGGUGUUUCCAGAGCCUUGGUGUCUGAGCAGACGGAGGCCCAGAGAAGGGAUCAGGGAGGAAGGAUCUGAGAGGCUUCUGUCACUCUGUGUCCUCGAGCACUGUCAUCUGACCUGAGAUGGAUGAAUGGGGGGCUCACAAGUCUCAGGCUGAAAUGCGGAAUGAACACAUCUGCCAUAUCAUCUGAGUCCAAAGUUGAAAGGGGCUCUUCACCAAAACCUAGACAAAUAUUUGAAAGCCUGUCUUGGAAAGGAAGAUAAUGUCCAAUUGGUCUCUUUUA